CAUCUCACUCCUCUGCUUCUUCUUUUCUCUAAAAGGGAAAGACCUUUUAACCAACUGUAUUGAGAUAUACUUUAUUAUCAUAAAAUUAACUCAUUUCAAGUGUGCAAUCAGCAAUUUUCAGUAAUCUCAUUGAGUUGUGCUGCCUUUGCUUUCAUUCCAGUUUUGGACCUUCUCUUGCCCAUAAGGUCCUUUGGGCCUGAUGACCAUUAAUCUUUACCCCACCCCAGCUGAUCUACUUCUGUCUCUAGGAAAUUUCCCUUUCUGGGCCUGUCAUGGAGAAGAAGUCACACAAGAUCAAGUCAGUUUUGAACACAUAAAGGUCCUGGGGCAGGAGUGAGCCGGGCAGACCAGAGUCUGGUAAGCAAGGAGGGGUUGUGCACGGGAGAGCUGGGCAGUGGCCCGCUGAGCUGCUGGGGUUCAGAAUGCGACAGGAGACACUGAGGUGUGCUCUGCUCUGCUUCCUGGUUUUCAGUGAUGCCCUGGCCGCUGUGUGGAGAACAGAUGUCGUGGAGUUCAGGUGGGUUCUGACCAAGGAGGCCAGCGCCUGCUUUAGCUCCCAGCCCCAUGGAAGGGCACCGAAAUCCACGUUGGAGACAAGGACCACUCUCCUGAAGGCGGUUCUGGCCUCAGAAGGUGAUGCCCUGGCCACCGUGUGGAGAACAGAUGUGGAUCUGAGGUGGGUUCUGGCCAGGGAGGCCAGCGGCUGCUUUAGCUCCCAGCUGCACUGAAAACCAGCCCCAAGACCAGCUCACACCAGGACUGCAGGUGCUGACUCCCCAGAUGUGAAGGUGGGGGUGAGAAGGGAGUGUCACAUAACUAAAGGAUGAAAAUCAUGCC
rnacentral:lncRNA from 1 species